AACGAACGCUGGCGGCGCGUUUAAGCAUGGCAAGUCGAGCGGCAAGGGCCUUCGGGCCCCUAGAGCGGCGGACGGGUGAGUAACACGUGGACAAUCUGCCCCCCGGCCCGGGAUAGCCCAGGGAAACCUGGAUUAAUACCGGAUGAGACGGGACCCGCGAUGGCGGGAUCCGGGAAAGGCGCUGCGGCGGCCGCCGGGGGAUGAGUCUGCGUCCCAUUAGCUAGACGGCGGGGUAACGGCCCACCGUGGCGACGAUGGGUAGCCGGCCUGAGAGGGUGGACGGCCACAUUGGAACUGAGACACGGUCCAGACUCCUACGGGAGGCAGCAGCUAAGAAUCUUCCGCAAUGGGCGAAAGCCUGACGGAGCGACGCCCGCGUGAACGAAGAAGGCCGUGAGGUUGUAAAGUUCUUUUCGGGAGGGGGAACAACCGUGGCAGGGAAUGGCCGCGGGAUGACGUGAAUCCCGGAAUAAGCCCCGGCUAACUACGUGCCAGCAGCAGC
rnacentral:rRNA from 1 species